rnacentral:tRNA from 1 species
CCAAGUUCGAGGUGCGGGCCCUGGCCCUGGCCCGGCUCGGGCCCCGGCCGGGGGACCUGGUGUGGGACGUCGGCGCGGGCUCCGGGUCCGUGGGCGUGGA